CUUGAAUUACAAUUUCUAAAACUAUAUAAUAAUCACAAGCAAUUUAUUAUAUUUACGUCUAUUAUAUUACUAUAGUUACGACCUUUGCUGCAUUGUGUCCAUUGUAUUGCCGUUAAAAUAGUUUUUUUAUCAUUUAAAAAGCUGGAAUAUAUGUGCCUACGUAAUAUUCUGCCCACGCGUACGUUACUUCAUUAUGGAGUCCCGAGGUAGGAGUUCGCGAGGGGAGGGGAGUGGUGGCCUAAAUCCCAUUUCUCGCCCAUCUUUUAAACCAAACCCCCGUCCCAAAUGUGAAAUUGAAAAAAAACAGGUUGAAUGAAAACCCAAAGAAAUGUAUUUCAUGUACAGUGUGUAUAAAAAAAAAACUGACUACAGAUUUGAAAUUGCUCUCAAUUUCGCAAAACAGCUAUUAGUAUCCAGUUUUUGAUAUAUAUAGUUUCUUUGGGUACUUAUAAUGUAGAAUAAUGGAAGAAAAUUCUCAAACUUAACUUUUGUAAACCAGGGGUGUGUGUUUUUUCAACAAACUAAAGAUGGCUUGCGCACGAAAUUUAAAAGCUUUAAUCGUAUUUUGAGUUAAUGGAUGGAAACUUUGUUGGGUUUGUUGCGUGAAUAGUUAAAGGGCUUAAACUGAAGCAAAUUUUCUGAAAUUUCGUGCAAUUAAACACCCAACACAUUUUCACCCAUUAAAGGGGAAGUCAAGUCCGUAAUGUAAACAAACGGUUUGUUUACAUUUUGAACUGCUGCAUUUUUUAAAAUAUGAUGUACUGUCUGAAUAUCUAACACCAUUUUGGUUCGCUAUGCUUCUAAAUGAAUAUGAAAUAAAGUUUAUGUUCAGAAAAAUUCGAAACAUUCGAAAUUUGGGCAAUUUUCACAUUAGAGGUCCUCUCAUUGUUAUGCGCAGAACAGAUGCGCAGAACGGACUUGACUUCCCCUUUAACUUACAAUACAAUUAAAGCUUUUAAAUCACGUGCGCAAGCCAUUUUUAGUUUGUUGGAACCCCGGUUUUACAAAUUUGAGUUCGAGAAAUUUUUUUCAUUAUUCUACAUUAUAAGUACCCAAAGAAACUGUAUAUAUCAAAAACUGGAUACUAAUAGUUGUUUUGCGAAAUUGAGAGCAAUUUCAAAUCUGUUCAGUUUUUUUUAUACACCCUGUUUUUGUGUUGAUUUCGUAGCUCUGCGUUCAUUUGCUCUCUUUACGGCUAGUUUGCCGCGUGAUUAAAGGUUCCAACGAAUUAAGAAGUCUAUAAAUAUUUGUCAUUUUGUGCAAUUAAAUACUGACGUGUAGCAUGGAAUACACUUACAUGACCCGCCAAGUCCGCCGUGUGCUGACUCACAAUGGAGCCGAAAAAAUACAAUGCAACGUUCAUGGACUUUUCCAUCAAUCGUAG